AUCAUUUGGCAAAGACAAAGGUUAUUAAAAUAAAGUUUUAUAUUUAUAUAGUUUAGCCUUUCUUUAAUACUUUUGUUUUUGUCCACUUU
ensembl:miRNA cin-mir-4125 cin-mir-4125